rnacentral:lncRNA from 1 species
AAAUUAAUAAUCCAUUUUUAUUUUAUUUUUUUAACUUCACACAAAAACCCGAGCGGUUUAUGUUUUAGACCUGGUCCGAAAAAACCAGAUUUCACGAAAUCAGAACCGGUUUUCUCCCGAGAUAAUAAACCCCUGCUGGGAACAAAUAUCCAUAUCGUCGCAAACCGACCGACGUAUCGGACGAUCUCAACCGUCCGAUACCGAUCGGGCGGUGCAUGGUAGAGGACCCGGAUCCGGGAGGAACAGUGCUUGCCGAAUACCGACGGCACGAAAAGGUGAAGUGCACACAUGAUAGUACAUUACAUUGCUACUACUACAUGAUAUGCAUUACAUUACACCUGUCCCCAGAUGCGCCUCACGCCUCCUCACGGGCUCACGCGGUCACGCCUAUAAAACGCGCCACCCCUGCCCUUCCCACGCAUCAUCACAUCAUCCACUGCUCUGCUUCUCCUCUUCUUUUCUUGGCUUGUGCUCUGUUUUAAUUUCUUUGCAAUGAUGGGGAGGCAGAGCUCGUCGGCGGCGAGGAGGGUGGUGGUGGUGGUGUGCGCGGCGAUGGUGGUGGCGGCGGCGGCGGCGCAGAAGUACAAUGCGGUGUACAACUUCGGGGACUCGAUCACGGACACCGGCAACCUGUGCACCAAUGGCAGGCCGUCGCAGAUCACCUUCACCCAGCCUCCCUACGGCGAGACCUACUUCGGCUCCCCUACCUGCCGCUGCUGCGACGGCCGCGUCGUCGUCGACUUCCUCGCGAGUAAGUUCGGGCUGCCGUUCCUGCCGCCGUCGAAGUCGACGAGCGCCGACUUCAAGAAGGGAGCGAACAUGGCGAUCACCGGAGCCACCGCCAUGGACGCCAACUUCUUCCGCUCCCUCGGCCUCUCCGACAAGAUCUGGAACAACGGCCCCAUCAGCUUUCAAAUCCAGUGGUUCCAGCAAAUCUCCUCCUCCGUCUGCGGCCAGAAUUGCAAGAGCUACCUGGCGAACUCGCUGUUCGUGUUCGGGGAGUUCGGCGGCAACGACUACAAUGCGAUGCUGUUCGGAGGGUACAGCGCGGACCAGGCGAGCACGUACACGUCGCAGAUCGUGGACACCAUCUCCAACGGCGUCGAGAAGCUCAUCGCCAUGGGCGCCGUCGACGUCGUCGUCCCCGGCGUGCUCCCCAUCGGCUGCUUCCCCAUCUACCUCACCAUCUACGGCACCUCCUCCAGCUCCGACUACGACAGCCUCGGCUGCCUCAAGAAGUUCAACGACCUCUCCACCAACCACAACAAUCAGCUCAAGACCAAGAUCUCCGCGCUCCAAUCCAAGUACAAGUCCGCCCGCAUCAUGUACGCCGACUUCUACUCCGGCGUCUACGACAUGGUCCGCAACCCCGGCAACUACGGUACGCACACCACUCCGCUUACACUGUUACACAAAAAUAACUAAUUCUACGGCCCUGUCUAGUUCUAAAGUUUUUUUUCAAACUUCCAACUUUCCAUCACAUCAAACAUUUCAUAGACACAUAAUUUUUCUAUCACAUCGUAUCAAUUUUAACCAAAACUUCUAAACUUCAGUGUGACUACGUAUAUAUUGCCAGUACGUUGCAACGUGAUUUGGAUUUUUUUAAAAAAAUUUGUGCACGAGGGAGACAGGGGGCCAUGUGAGCCGUAGCAAGAUUCCUCAGUUUUGUGCCAGUGAAUGAGCAGUUUGCUUAAGUAGGGUAGUAGUGUCCGACAUGGGCAAUCCGAGCUCGUGAUUGCCAUUUUAUAUGGGGGGAACAGUAGUCGUCUUGCUCCAACGACUAGCUAGACACCCAAAUUAUGCCAGAUUAAUGGCAGAUACGCCCGAUUAGGUGUGUGGACUUAUGUUUGUACCUACGAAUCCAACUGCACGCACGUUCCUCCGUUCCCUCACCGGAACUCACCCCAUGUUCCCCCAACUAAACACACAUGUGAGACAGUGUCAAACGACUACCCCCGAGCAGUGGCGUUUUGGCAGUGUGCAUCCUACUCCUUUCAUUCUAAAAUAUAAGAGAUUUUAAACGGAUGUCUAAAUUCGUAGCACUAAAAAGAGUCACAUCUAUUCAAAAUCCUUUAUGUUUCAUGACGGAUGGAGUAGAUGAUACAGAGACCAAAGAUGAUUAAACUGAUGAGCUAUAUAUAUUUUUUGACAUGUAGGAUUUAGCACGGUGUUCGAGACGUGCUGCGGGUCAGGCGGCGGCAAGUUCAACUACAACAACAACGCGAGGUGUGGGAUGUCAGGCGCAUCAGCGUGCUCCAACCCGGCGUCGCAUCUUAGCUGGGACGGCAUCCACCUCACCGAGGCAGCUUACAAGCAGAUCACUGACGGCUGGCUCAACGGCCCGUACUGUAGCCCGGCCAUCCUCCACAGCUAAGGCAAAAUGCCUGGAAAGAACGAGCCAUUAGUUAAUUUAUUACUUUAUUAUUAAGGUUGGUGUUUAUUAAUUAAGCGGGAAUUAAUUAAAGGGGAAUUGUUUGGGUUCUUGAUUUUUAUUUGGGUGGCAUAUAUGGUGGGUGGUGUGACGGUGAAAUGGUUUACUUGCGUUGCCAAAAAAGCAAAGAAAGCGAUGGCAACUGUAUAAUAAAUGUUGGUUACUGUUGUAAUUUGAUAAUUGUUUCUCUUCCAGAAUCAAAUGAAUCAUCAAUGGUAUUAUACUCAGUUAUUUUUUUUUCUUUUGCUUUUU